rnacentral:rRNA from 1 species
AAUGAACGUUGGCGGCGUGGAUUAGGCAUGCAAGUCGAGCGAGAACCGUAGCAAUACGGGGACAGCGGCGAAAGGGAGAGGAACACGUGGGUACCUACCCCCGGAUUCAGGAUAGUCAUGGGAAACUAUGGGUAAUACUGAAUAACGUCUCCGGACCAAAGGUGUGAUUCCGUCCGGGGAGGGGCCCGCGUCCUAUUAGCUAGUUGGCGAGGUAACGGCUCACCAAGGCUGUGAUGGGUACGGGAUGUGAGAGCAUGAUCCCGCUCAUUGGGACUGAGACACUGCCCAGACACCUACGGGUGCCUGCAGUCGAGAAUCUUCGGCAAUGGGGGAAACCCUGACCGAGCGACGCCGCGUGCGAGAUGAAGGCCUUCGGGUUGUAAAUCGCUGUCGUAGGGGAGGAAAUGCCGGUGGGUUCUCCCAUCGGUUUGACCUAUCCUAGGAGGAAGGACGGGCUAAGUUCGUGCCAGCCGCCGCGGUAAUAC